ACGGAGUUAGCCGGUGCUUAUUCAUAUGCUACCGUCAUUUUCUUGACAUAUAAAAGGAGUUUACACACCGAAAUGCGUCAUCCUCCACGCGGCGUUGCUGCAUCAGGGUUUCCCCCAUUGUGCAAUAUUCCUC
rnacentral:rRNA from 1 species